GACGAACGCUGGCGGCGUGCUUAACACAUGCAAGUCGAACGGAAAGGCCCUGCUUUUGUGGGGUGCUCGAGAGGCGAACGGGUGAGUAACACGUGAGUAACCUGCCCUUGACUUUGGGAUAACUUCAGGAAACUGGGGCUAAUACCGGCUAGGAGCUCCUGCUGCAUGGUGGGGGUUGGAAAGUUUCGGCGGUUGGGGAUGGAAUCGCGGCUUAUCAGCUUGUUGGUGGGGUAGUGGCUUACCAAGGCUUUGACGGGUAGCCGGCCUGAGAGGGUGACCGGCCACAUUGGGACUGAAAUACGGCCCAGACUCCUACGGGAGGCAGCAGUGGGGAAUAUUGCACAAUGGGCGGAAGCCUGAUGCAGCAACGCAGCGUGCGGGAUGACGGCCUUCGGGUUGUAAACCGCUUUCGCCUGUGACGAAGCGUGAGUGACGGUAAUGGGUAAAGAAGCACCGGCUAACUACGUG
rnacentral:rRNA from 1 species